rnacentral:rRNA from 1 species
AUGAACAAUAACAAGGCACUCGGGUCGGAUAGUGUUCCUGCAGAGUUCUACCAACACUGUUGGGAAAUAGUGAAGGAUGACAUUAUGAAUCUAUUUCAUGCUUUUCAUGAGGGGAGAUUGGAUGUGUAUAGGCUGAAUUAUGGCAUUAUCACUCUUCUCCCCAAAAUCUCCGGAGCUAAUAAAAUUCAGCAGUUGAGGCCAAUCUGUCUGCUGAGAUGCCCCUAUAAGCUGAUUACAAAAGUUCUAGAUAACAGAGCGGCUCUUUUUGCUGAUAUUAUGUUUAGUAAACAUCAAAAUGCUUUUAUCAAAAACAGGAAUAUCAUGGAUGGGGUUUUAUCUCUGCAUGAGAUUCUUCACCAUACCUAUGUCAAGAAAAAGUGUGGUAUUGUCAUUAAGCUCGAUUUUGAAAAGGCAUAUGACAAGGUUAACUAG